CAAUAACAGUAUAAUAGUAGGCGUAACAAGAGAGACGAGGUAUCUAGUAGAAGACAUGUAUGUACAAGGACGUUCAGAAGACAAAUUUUCUUUUAUACACCCCGGAACGAAUCGCAAAAAGAACAUAUACAUCUGGCUCGGGUGACACUAAACUGGCCCCCUAUAUUUGUAUUUUGAUUACCUCCUGAAUCAAUUGCAACACAAUCGAACGGAAUCAAGCAAGCAAGCAAGCCAACGUGCUCUACAUCAACAAGAUAACGAAUCAAAAAUACCAGAUCCGUCAGAUAACAAAAAAAAUCUCGUAUACACAUACACGAGGAUUGGAAUGCCAAAAAAGAGAAAAAUCAACGAGCAGAGUGCAAUUAUAUUCAGGACACUUUCAUCGGUAACAGUCACGUUUUCGUGUCUGUAGAAUUACACAGCAGAACGGGAACUCAAUUUCGAGAGAAAACAUUUAAUCCGUCGCCUCGUUGGACAGACAGAGAUUGAUCGUCACGCGAGCGUACAUUCAC